rnacentral:piRNA from 1 species
GUUUUGCCUUCAAGAUUGAUCCAUCCUGA